CGUGGAACCUGCACGAACCACGAUGCGGACAGACGAAAACGCCCUCUGUCCGCGGGGCGCAGCGGUCCCACCGGGACACGGAGGACUCUGGCUGGCUCAGCACAGCCGGCCGAGUCCCAUCGUUCCCCUCCGCACGGC